rnacentral:sRNA from 1 species
UCCGGGUUCCGAUAUAUGUAGGCCGAAGC